rnacentral:tRNA from 2 species
UACAAUAUGUUGUAGGGGCAUAUAAAGUUUUGAAUUUUAAAGAGAGGGUUCAAAUCCCUUUGUUGUAA